CCUACGGGAGGCAGCAGUGAGGAAUAUUGGUCAAUGGACGAGAGUCUGAACCAGCCAAGUAGCGUGAAGGAUGACUGCCCUAUGGGUUGUAAACUUCUUUUAUAUGGGAAUAAAACGUUCCACGUGUGGGAUUUUGUAUGUACCAUAUGAAUAAGGAUCGGCUAACUCCGUGCCAGCAGCCGCGGUAAUACGGAGGAUCCGAGCGUUCUCCGGAUUUAUUGGGUUUAAAGGGAGCGUAGGUGGAUUGUUAAGUCAGUUGUGAAAGUUUGCGGCUCAACCGUAAAAUUGCAGUUGAAACUGGCAGUCGUGAGUACAGUAGAGGUGGGCGGAAUUCGUGGUGUAGCGGUGAAAUGCUUAGAUAUCACGAAGAACUCCGAUUGCGAAGGCAGCUCACUGGACUGCAACUGACACUGAGGCUCGAAAGUGUGGGUAUCAAACAGGAUUAGAUACCCUUGUAGUC
rnacentral:rRNA from 1 species